UGGGGAAUCUUCCGCAAUGGGCGAAAGCCUGACGGAGCAACGCCGCGUGAGUGAAGACGGCCUUCGGGUUGUAAAGCUCUGUUAUAUGGGACGAACGGGCGUAUGGUCAAUACCCAUACGCCGUGACGGUACCGUAAGAGAAAGCCACGGCUAACUACGUGCCAGCAGCCGCGGUAAUACGUAGGUGGCAAGCGUUGUCCGGAAUCAUUGGGCGUAAAGGGCGCGCAGGCGGUUCGGUAAGUCGGUCUUAAAGUGCGGGGCUUAACCCCGUGAUGGGAUUGAAACUGCCGGACUGGAGUGUCGGAGAGGAAAGCAGAAUUCCUAGUGUAGCGGUGAAAUGCGUAGAUAUUAGGAGGAAUACCAGUGGCGAAAGCGGCUUUCUGGACGACAACUGACGCUGAGGCGCGAAAGCCAGGGGGAGCAAACGGGAUUAGAUACCCCG
rnacentral:rRNA from 1 species